AUGUCUUCCUCCAGCGCCGCUCAAUCCAAUCUCAGCGGCCAAGUCACGGAGAAGCUCUCCCGGACGAACUACGUCCUGUGGCGAACGCAAGUUACGCCGCACCUAAGGGGAGCCGGGCUCUUCGGGUAUGUCGAUGGAACCAUGCCGGAGCCCGCCCGCCUCCUCGUCACCAAGGACAAGGAAGGCAAGGAGACGACCAAGCUGAACCCUCUCCAUCCCAUUUGGGUGAGGGAGGACCAACAAGUGCUCGGCUACCUCCUCAGCAACCUCUCCAAGGAAGUGCUGAUCACGGUGACCGCGAUCACCAUCGCGCACGCUCUCUGGGCGGCGCUCGCAGGCAUGUUUUCCUCUCAAUCUCUGAGUCGUGUUAACAACAUUCACAUUGCUUUGAUCAAU
rnacentral:rRNA from 1 species